CCAGUGUAGGGAGGUGCUUCCUUUCUGUCCUGCUGCACUGAAGUGUGGUUGCCCCUGCUGAUUCCAGUGUUUGGUGGUGUUUAAGAUUUUUGUUCUCCGUGGGUGAGGAGCUGCAGAGAGUGACCAUUUGUAUAAGUGGCUGGAGUUUGAAGAUGAGUUGGGGAGGCUCCACCUCUCCUGGUGGAGGGCGGCGUUUGCACUCCGUACUUCCUGCUUGACCACGAGCGGAGCGAAGGACGUCCAGCUGGAUGAGAAACUUUUGUCCCUGUUACUUGGAGCGCUGAAAGGAGUCCUGGUGUGUGCCUUGUUCCAGGAGCAAACACCAUUCAACAACCUGUGCAAAGUGUCUUGAGCUAUAAGCUUAUGAUGGCCAUUGCAGACGGUGGUCAGUCAAGCCUUAUGUGUCCCGCCAGCGAGGGCACAGCUUUGAGCACCAGUCUAUGGAGGUUCAAAUAUAGGAUGACCAUUAGGAACAACUUGUCUGCACUAGCUAGGACAAUUACUGCACUGAGCGACUCUUCAAUACAGCAAUACAAGAAUCUCUUUUUACAUACCACGAGCAAUAGGUCUGUUUACUGAGAGCUGUGAGUGUCUGUGUGCAUACAGAGGUGGGGCGUGGCCAACCAUAGUGAGCAUUGAGUAACUUGUGAUCCCCCAUUUCCUUUCUUUUCAAUGGAUACUUGACCUUUUUUCUUGUGUGUUUGUGCGUGCGCUUUGGCUAAAUGUAUGUCAGUGCAUUGUCUGUGUAUUCUGGACAUCUUCAUUCCCCUCGGGAUUAAUAAAUGACAACGAACUCUACUCUAGGAACUUUGAUCAACUUCAGCCAUUUUCUCACACAGACUGGGACUAAGACACAGGCACUGCACAGGAACUGUAUCAAAGAGCAGUCACCAGGUUUCUUUCCGCCAGCACUAUUUUUUAAAAAUCAAAGAUGUUUGCGUUAACAUUUUUGUAAUGGUUCUAAUCUUCAUAUUGUUUGAAUUAAAUUAUUUUCAACCC